rnacentral:rRNA from 1 species
AUUGAACGCUGGCGGCAUGCCUUACACAUGCAAGUCGAACGGCAGCACGGACUUCGGUCUGGUGGCGAGUGGCGAACGGGUGAGUAAUGCAUCGGAACGUGCCAUUGAGUGGGGGAUAACGUAGCGAAAGUUGCGCUAAUACCGCAUAUUCUGUGAGCAGGAAAGCAGGGGACCGCAAGGCCUUGCGCUCUUUGAGCGGCCGAUGUCAGAUUAGCUAGUUGGUGAGGUAAAGGCUUACCAAGGCGACGAUCUGUAGCGGGUCUGAGAGGAUGAUCCGCACACUGGAACUGAGACACGGUCCAGACUCCUACGGAGCAGCAGUGGGGAAUUUUGGACAAUGGGGGC